UCCACGUCGGCAAGCUACGAGACAAGGGAGUUUUUUUUUCAAGAGAAAGACAAGCGAGUUCGCUUCGCCGCGAAGAAAGGCCGAAGGAAUCCACCCGAUGCCCCUGUCCCUCUCGCCUUCGGCGACGGCGCCCGCCCUCCUUCCCGCCUCCCUCCCCGGCAGCGGCGCUCUUUGAUGUUGUCGACCCCCUUUCGUCUAUCUCCCUCUUCCCCGAUUUAGAUCGAUGGAGGGGGCGCAUGUCCUGUCCACCUCUUUCUCGACCAGCCCCGGCGUCGGCGCCCAGCGACCAUGGCGUCACGGCGGGCUUGCUCGCCGGCGCGUGCGUGCGUGCUUCGAUGCGCGGCCCUCCGUCAAGCUGGCCGGACCGUGGCGCGCGUGUGAUCUGCGUAGGGUUUGCGGUGGCGGCGCUACACACCGGCCACGGGUCUCCGGCUACCAGGAAGGCAACGGCGCGGAUCGAUUCGAUCCUUAAGGACACCCCUGGAUCUUGCUGCAGGAGGUGGGUGUCAGAAAACCAACCUGGGACACGAGCUAGCCUCCAAUUCUUGGGCUCCCGGACAACAAGGACACAACAGACGCACAAGGUUUGUUCUCUGAACCUUUGCUCUGGAGAACACAAGACACACACACAUGAGCUUGUUGUCUCUCCAAAGCUCUCUGUCUUUUAUUCAGUAGGUGUAUAUGACGAUCGAAUGGAAGUUGAUGAAGAUUAAUAAGGCCUUUUGUUGUUCUAGAGAUGCAUGAGGUUCGUGCAACCCUUUUGCUUGUGUUGGUAUGAAGACAACCACCAAUUUAUCAGAUUGGAAAAAAGCUGCAACUGGAAAUUAAUUUAAUUAUGACAAGUGAUUGAUUUCUCAUGAUUAUGGCACUUCCUCCGGUGAUUUGAUUCCGUCCAAGUGGUAAAAUUUCUAUGCCCAGGAUGAACAUGCUCUACUCCAGUCUAGCUCAUAGUAAUCCCUUCACAUACUACAGCAGGGAUGGUUUCUAAUUUGCUCCUCACAACUUAUUAUUUUGCCUAUUAUUUUGUUGUAUCUCUGUUCUGAUGGUUACUAAUUUGAAAGGCAGGUAGAUGGCUGAUGUUGAACUCAUGAUGACAUUAUUUGCAGGACAAGUAUGAGUGUGUGGUGAACGCCAAUGGCAAUCUGGAGAAGAAGUUCUCUCCUUGGUUAUGCUCUAUUGGACCCCGCCACGUUUGCGAUGCAUCCACCGGCAUGGGCCCGCUUCUGGUACAAGGUGAACGGUUGCGCGCCGGAAGAGGAGCCAGGCUUCUCCGCGUGGUUUUUCUCCGGCGACGACACAGCCGUUCCAUCCGACGUUAAGAGCCCGACUGUACAAGCUACAAGGUCCUCUCACGCCCCUCUUUUCUCCUCUUUCUUCGAUUGGAUUCGAUUUUGAUGUUGCGUUGUUGUUAUUCAUGGAGGUCUGAUUUGCUUUCCUUCCUAAUGCGGUCGGUUUCCUCACAUGGGUCGUUGUCGUAGU